AAAGGAAUUGACGGGGAGCACCACAACGGGUGGAGCUUGCGGUUUAAUUGGAUUCAACGCCGGAAAUCUUACCGGGACCGACAGCAAUAUGAAGGCCAGGCCGAAGACUUUGCCGGAUUAGCUGAGAGGUGGUGCAUGGCCGUCGUCAGUUCGUACCGUGAAGCAUCCUGUUAAGUCAGGCAACGAGCGAGACCCACGCCCACAGUUGCCAGCGUACUCUCUGGAGUGACGGGUACACUGUGGGGACCGCCGCUGCUAAAGCGGAGGAAGGAAUGGGCAACGGUAGGUCAGUAUGCCCCGAAUAUCCCGGGCUACACGCGAGCUACAAUGGUUGGUACAAUGGGUAUCUACCCCGAAAGGGGACGGGAAUCUCCUAAAACCAAUCUUAGUUCGGAUUGAGGGCUGCAACUCGCCCUCAUGAAGCUGGAAUCCGUAGUAAUCGCGUUUCAACAGAACGCGGUGAAUACGUCCCUGCUCCUU
rnacentral:rRNA from 1 species